AAAAUAUUAACCAGAAAGACAAAACCCUAAAAUAGAUGCUGAAUAAGACCUGGAGAGCUUUAAAUGCAGAGAAGACGUGAGACUGAAUCCAGGAGAAAGAACUUCAAACUUCAGUUUCCAUGAGAAAAGCAGUGACAAUAAUGGGCUGCAAUGUGGUUUCUGUCACCUGUUUGCUCACAAGUCUGGACCGAUUUCUUCAGCAGAGAUAGGUUUACUUGGGAUCAGCAGAGGAUUGCAAUUCUGGAGACUGCAACUGUGGCCAGCCAUGGGCAAGUUCCCCACAUGGCAAGGAUCCUAAUUGUUCAUCAUGAGGAGAACAUGGUGCCAAAAUGACAGAAUGAGGCAGAUGAAGGCUGCUGUGGUUAUUUUGUGUCCAUGAGAGAAAGGCAUAGAUCAUUGUGGAGAUGCCACCCAGAGCCCUGACAUCUCCUGAGCUUCUGAAGAUGAAUCCUUUCAGGGUUUCCAGGAAACUUAGGUGAGUGAAUGCAUCUCUGUGUCUAUCUAAACUGCUAAUUGUUGGAUCUUUUGCUACAGCCAAAAGUAUCAUAAUGGCUAUAGCAGGUGAAGGGCAGCAGAGACAACCCCAGGGGAAUGAAGGAAUAUCCUGGCAAGAACAAAGCCAUCUAUAAAGUCAAAACAGAAGAAGCUGGGAUUGAAGGUAAAUUAAUAUAAAAAUGAAUCCUGCAAAAAAUUAAAGGUCAGAGCCAACAAUGGUUUGGCUAAGCAAAUCAAGGGAACUAUGGAAAUCUUUGCAUUCAAAUUUCUGUGGUCAACAUUAUGCUGGGUGGUGUCAGUGGUUCUUGAAGGCCCAGUUGAGUAUCUAAUCAUUUCAAAGCCAUGAUGUUUAAAUCUAGCAUAUAACCUUCUGAUGGACUCCUAUAUCUGUUUAGGUCAACAAAUAAUUAGAAUCCUUUAAUGGUAUAGUCUGAGAUAUUAGACAAAUCAGCACCCACUUGAAUAAUUCCUGGGUCUAUAACUCAGAAUGUUAAUGUUGAAUGCUCUAUGAAACAAUUUUUCAUGUCAUACAUUAUAGAUAUUUAGAACUAUGAGUUUCCUUAUAGAUUACUUAACUCAACUGUGAAAGCACAAAACACACUAGUUCUGGAGAUAACAGGAAGAGAGUUCAAACUUUUUUGUUUGGAGCAAAGAUCCUGGAAGUAGUGGAAAACAGGACCAAAGUUUUAACAAAGCUGGAAUGAAGGAAAACCUGGAUAGGAGGAAGUGAUUUCAAUAUCUGCCAGUGUUUUUCUGGGCUGCAAGGGGCGCUGGGAGGCUGACUCUCUCUUUCUCUCGCUCUCUCUCUUUUUUUUUUUGGUCUUUUACGGCUGCACCUGCGGCCAGCUUAUGGAGGUUCCCAGGCGAGGGGUCGAAUCUGCGCUACAGCUGUUGACCUGCACCACAGUCACAACAACGCAAGAUCCUAGCCUCAUCUGCAACCUACAUCACAGCUCAGGGCAAUGCUGGAUCCUUAACCCACUGAGUGAGGCCAUGGAUCCAAACUGCUUCCUCAUGGAUACUAGUGUCAGAUUCCUUUCCGCUGAUCCACGAUGGGAACUCCGAGGAUGACUCUCUUAAAGAAUGAAGAAUAGCCUAGACACAAAGCUAAGAGGAGGUGUAGAAGAAAUCAAAAUCAGAUUUGUCAAAUUCAUGCCCACUUCCUUUUCCAUUUUACAUCCAUUGUUGAGUUAAAGCUGUAGCAAGGAUAAUAGUGGUGAUAAAUAGGUGAGUUUGAAAAUCAGAACCAGUCCUGGAAAGACCCCAAGGCUACCCAUAUCAACCUGCUGAUGUGCUCAAAAUUCCAUCUGCUUGAUAAAGUAAAUCUUCUUGAUGCUAAAAGUCAUGGGUUUCUACUCAUGUUCAAGAUAUUCGGCAUUCCUGGCAAGAGAGUGCUGAGAGGGAUUACUCUAAACAGACAAAUGGACCUUGUUUCUUGUAGGAAUGCUGUUUCUUCUUAAGUCACUGACUAUCUUCUAGAGUGCUUUUCAUUCCCCUUCCUAAUUUUCUGGUAGUGAAGUGAUAGCAAGAACAGCUAAAUAGAGGGGAACUUUUUUUUACCUGUGACACUGAAAUCUCCCCUUUUUGUCCUCUGCAUCUCCCUUGGGUAUGUUAACACUUUAAUAUAAAAUAGGUAAACUGAUAGUAGUUUGAUUUUUUUUCUAUUUAUGUAUUUAGAGGAAAUAUGUCAAUUUAUUUAAAAUAUGUCAAAAAUGCACCAAUGCCCACUUCUCAUUCCUUCUAUUUCCAUAAAUCCAGCCCUCUACACCAAUGUGAGGGACUUUAAAGGCAAUGGCUAAUAAAUACCCGGUUUUACUCUGAUAGAUGGAAGAAGGAAGAAACACAUGUACUUACUGAGCUAUGGAACAGCCUGGGACUGCCUCAGUUGCCUUCAUUCAUCAUAUUGGAUAAUACA
rnacentral:lncRNA from 1 species